rnacentral:tRNA from 1 species
GCCCAGGUGCUGGAAUUGGUAGACAGUGCAGCCUUAAGAGCUGUUGUCCGCAAGGACGUGAGGGUUCGAGUCCCUCCCUGGGCACCA